GCCAGACUCCUACGGGAGGCAGCAGUGGGGAAUAUUGCACAAUGGGGGGAACCCUGAUGCAGCGACGCCGCGUGGGUGAAGGAGUAUUUCGGUAUGUAAAGCCCUAUCAGCAGGGAAGAACAAUGACGGUACCUGACUAAGAAGCACCGGCUAAAUACGUGCCAGCAGCCGCGGUAAUACGUAGGGGGCGAGCGUUAUCCGGAUUCACUGGGUGUAAAGGGAGCGUAGGCGGCCAAGCAAGCCAGGGGUGAAAGCCCGGGGGCCAACCCCGGGACUGCCCUUGGAACUGCUUGGCUGGAGUGCGGGAGGGGCAGGCGGAAUUCCUGGUGUAGCGGCGAAAUGCGUAGAUAUCAGGAGGAACACCGGCGGCGAAGGCGGCCUGCUGGACCGCGACUGACGUUGAGGCUCGAAAGCGUGGGGAGCGAACAGGAUUAGAUACCCCAGUAC
rnacentral:rRNA from 1 species